rnacentral:rRNA from 1 species
UACAGAGGUGGCAAGCGUUGUUCGGAAUUACUGGGCGUAAAGGGCGCGUAGGCGGGCCGCCAAGUUCGAGGUGAAAUCCUCCGGCUCAACCGGAGAACUGCCUCGAAUACUGGAGGCCUCGAGGCGGGUAGGGGCACGCGGAACUGUGGGUGGAGCGGUGAAAUGCGUUGAUAUCCACAGGAACUCCGGUGGCGAAGGCGGCGUGCUGGACCCGAUCUGACGCUGAGGCGCGAAAGCCAGGGGAGCAAACGGG